GUCAGCUCGUGUCGUGAGAUGUUGGUUAAGUCCCGUAACGAGCGCAACCCUUGUCCUUAGUUACCAGCACGUUAUGUGGGGCACUCUAAGGAGACUGCCGGUGGACAAACCGGAGGAAGGUGGGGAUGACGUCAAGUCAUCAUGGCCCUUACGGCCUGGGCUACACACGUGCUACAAUGGUCGGUACAAAGGGUUGCCAAGCCGCGAGGUGGAGCUAAUCCCAUAAAACCGAUCGUAGUCCGGAUCGCAGUCUGCAACUCGACUGCGUGAAGUCGGAAUCGCUAGUAAUCGUGAAUCAGAAUGUCACGGUGAAUACGUUCCCGGGCCUU
rnacentral:rRNA from 1 species